rnacentral:rRNA from 1 species
CCUACGGGAGGCAGCAGUGGGGAAGAUUGCACAAUGGGGGAAACCCUGAUGCAGCGACGCCGCGUGAGUGAAGAAGUAUUUCGGUAUGUAAAGCUCUAGCAGCAGGGAAGAAAAUGACGGUACCUGAGUAAGAAGCCCCGGCUAACGACGGGCCAGCAGCCGCGGUAAGACGUAGGGGGCAAGCGUGAUCCGGAUUGACUGGGUGGAAAGGGAGCGUAGACGGCAGCACAAGUCUGGAGUGAAAUGCCGGGGCUGAACCCCGGAACUGCUUGGGAAACUGUGCAGCUAGAGUGCAGGAGCGGUAAGUGGACUUCCUAGUGUCGCGGUCACAUUCGUCGAUCUUAGGCG